GGCUACACAGAGAAAUCCUGUCUCAAAAAAUUUUUUUUUCUUCAUCUCCAAGAUCUCAAAUUAAUAUCACAAUAUAAACAUAGUAUAACUUAAAAGUUCCAUAGUCUUUUAGUUUUCAAUACUUUAAAAGUUCAGUCUCUUUAAAAUAUUCUAAGUCUCUUUCAAAGUCCAAAGUCUCUCUAAAAUACCCAAUUCUCUCUCUCAAAUUAUCAAAAAGUCUCUCUGUCAUAAAACUGUGGGUUCCUGUAAAAUCAAAAACAAGUCAAAUGCUGUACCCCACGAAGGAAGAACCAGGGCACGGUCAGGAUGAACAAAGUAAAAAACAGCACUGAGAGGGAGGUGGUGUCCAGUGUCUGGGAUCCACUCACUGCCUUUGGAUCACUCGCUGGGCUCAGCUCUUUGCAGCACAUGCUGACUCUAUUCCAUAGCUGCUGCUGUCCUGGCAAGUCAGCCCUGGCUCUGACGUCUCAUUAACCUCUUUGUACCUUCAAACCUCUACUGUCUGGGUGACUUGUACACUACUAAGUUUGACUACAAGCAUGAGGUACAACUUUGGCUACUUCAGGAACACAGCUUAUGCCUGCUGACUCUGAGGAAACACUCCCCAGAAGAUUUUAAUUGUCCCAACAAAAUAAAGGUUUUUACUUUAGUGGUUCUGGUCUCUUCCAGUUCUUCACAUCCCUGACUAGAACCACAGAUGCUGAAGUCCAGGUGUUGCGUUCGUAGCUCUGACAAGAGUCCCCGCUUCCCUCUGAAACAUCAUAGGCACACCUCACCGCCUCUGCUGUUCUCAGUGCUCUCUCAGCCGAGCUCCCAAAUAUCAGCCUGCUGACCCUCGAGCAGCCAGUGGCUUUUCCAGCCUCAAAUUCAAAUGCUACCUUAGCAAUUUGUCUGAGCUCUUGCUUGUUCUUUAGAUGAUAACAUUAUUUUCCACUUAAACUUGGGCAUCUUGUCUUGUAUUGGUGGGGAAGUUCCUCCUCAUUAUCAUCACAUGGGGUAAACACUGCUGACUGCCCUUCUUUGUCCACUGUCCUCCUUAGCUGAAGACAGAAGCUGCUAUGUAUGUUGCCUCAGUAGGUAGAGUUACAGACAGGAAGCCCUGGGUUUGGUCUCCAGCACCACAUAAGCCAUACAUGGAAGUACAUGUCUGUGAUCUCAUACCUAAAACGUAGAGCAUCUGAAGUCCAAGGUCAUCUUGGCUACAUAACAAUAGCAAGCAAGUUCCAGGCCAGCCUGGGCUACAGGAGACCCUGCCUCAAAAAGAAACGAAAUCUCCCUGCUCACUGCCCCUCAAACCAGGUCCAUACCUAACACGGUCUCUCCCCUCAUCUUGGCCUUUUGACUUUGUCAUCCCUGUGAUGUCCCUUUGGCAGGGUCUUAGGUCCUUGUUGGAUUCUCUUCUUCUAAACCCCUUGUUGUUCUCCCCAGCACAUACACAACUGCCUUCUGCCUGCUUUCCCAACCCUGCUGACCAGGCAUAUCCAGCUCACUCAAAACUGCCCCCCUCACAGCAAAGGCCUCAGCCUCUGUGCUCUGAUAUGGGCUCAUUUCCUAAGUGCAGCCCAGCCCCAUCUGGAAGUAGAUAGUUCCAGAAAUCAGCUGUCCAUAUCUAAUGACCUUGAACCUUUAAGUCCCUAAGAAGCCGUUUCUCCUCUGCCCCUUUCUCCUCUGCCCCAGGCACUGUUCCUGAUCUAAAACUCAGAUCCUGCCCUCUGGGGCUUUGGUGCUGUGGCAUUCUGCAGUAUUGGUGAAUCUGGGCCCUGUCUCAAGGCUGAACUCCCGGUUGGAGCACACUUUCCACACUGCUGAUGCUGUUUCCUGCUCUCCCAAACCUAGUGCCAAUAGCCACUUACGUUAUCUAAUACACUUUUACUUUGGAAUCAGUAUAGAUUUACUAAUGGUGCACAAGGAUCCCAUGACCACUUGUGGCUCCUUUGCUGCUGAUACCCUCUGUACCCACGACUGGUCAGCAGCCAGGAGAGACUUAGAAAACAAACAAAAAGCCCAUUUGAGAGGCCUGCUACUCGUUAUGUGACCUGCUGCUGCCAACUUCUGCCACCUUCUGUCCAAGCUUCACCGGGUUUCUCCAGCUUCCCACCAAUUUCCGCUGCAUUCACCAGCUUCAGGGUGAAGGAGGCUGGGUGAGAUAGGUUGUGACUAGAACAGGACAGCAAGAAUAGAUAGAGCAGGCACUCAGAGGGUCCGUCUGAGCUUCAGGGUGUGGAUGCAGCUCUAAUUUUAGGUGGUGGGAAUGAGGCUAGAGCAGGCCCUGAGGAUGGGGACAUGAGCAAGCCAUCUGGUGGAGACAAUGCUGGUGUGACUGAGGGCUUGCCCUCAGGAAAGGUUAGUAAAUGAGGCUUCAGGAACGAGGGGUGUGAGCAGCCAUUAUUGUCCACAGGUCAGUGGAGACAGCCUGUUCUUGGCCACAGGGAAGCAGGCCAUACAGACCUUCAUCCUUUCCCCCUUCACAUUAGCUGCAGGUGUGCAAGCCACCUGCUAGUAAAACUACCACCAUCCCUGCGCUAUUCUAGAGUAGGCAGUUGUGGGGAAUAGGCAGUGGCCCUCAUUGUGGAGCAUGCUCUGUAGGGAAAGCUGGGUACAGAAAAGUACACAGCCUGGAGCCAUUGUAGAAGGCUGCACUUGGAAGACCAGGGCGUAUAAACCCAGCUCUGUUAUCCAUACACAUGUGCAGACAGCAUGUUGCCAGCUUCUCUCUGGGCAGCCUCACAGAUGUUGGCCUUUCCUUCCAGCUGCUGGAGGCAUUGGGGUUUCCUUGAGCUGUUAAGCUGUGAGCCCUGUGUGCCCUCCAUCUGAUGAGCUUUGCUGUGUGAGCCCUGUGUGCCCUCCCGUCUGAUGAGCUUUGCUGUGUGAGCCCCGUGUGCCCUCCUGUCUGAUAAGUUUUGCUCAGAGUGUUCAGUCUCCCUUUGGGUUUUAUCUUCCAUACUGACUUGGAGGAAGUUUGCUAGUAUAUGAGUAUAGAUAGGCCUGGAAUGUUAGCUGUUAAUAUGAGUAUAGAUAGGCCUGGAGGUUAGCUGUUAAUAUGAGUAUAGAUAGGCCUGGAAGGUUAGCUGUUAAGUAUCUUGGAUGUGAAUCUCAGCAUGAGCCUUCACCUCGUGUGGUGUGUUCCCCGUUCUGUCCCUUGCUGCUAGAUCUCUUUAUCCUCCUUUGUGCAGCUUGGUUUGUUUGAGACAGGUUCUUAUUGCACAUAGCCCAAGCUUGCCUCAGACUUACUGAUCUUCGCUUUCUGAGGGAUGGGAAUCACCCUGUAUGAUUGCCUUACUAGAAUGUAAGUUUUUCUUUUUCUGAAAAAUUUUUUUCAUUUUAUUUUUCUGGUAUAUGUUUGAAGAACAAAAAAAAAUUUUUUUAUUUUUUUUUAAUUUAUUUAUUUUGAGACAGAGUUUCUCUCUAUAGCCCUGGCUGUCCUGGAACUCACUCUGUAGACCAGGCUGGCCUCGAACUCCCAGAGAUCCACCCACCUCUGCUUCCCAAGUGCUGAAAUUAAAGUUGCACACUACCAUACCAGCUAGUUUUCAUUACACUUACCCUCUUUCUUCCAAAAGUAUAUUUUUCUCCAUUCAUUCACUCGCUCAUUCAUUCAUUCCUUUGGAGUAUGCUGGGCAGGUGUGAUACCACCCACUGAUCCUAGAUAUAAAGUUGAGAGUCACUUUGUUAAGUUGAAAAGAAUACUUGGGUUGUUUUAUUUGCUUGUUGAUUUCCUCUGUGUGUGUGUGUGUGUGUGUGUGUGUGUGUGUGUGUGUGUGUGUGUGUAAAGCAGAGUCUUGCUAGCCUCAAACUCAGGAGGCUCCCACCUCAGCCUGCUGAGUGAUGGGAUCACAGAUGGACUUAGCACACCUGGCACAUUUGGAGUUCAGUCUGUUGGCCAGGGCAGUGAGAAUGGACGUAAGCCUUUGUCACAGUGUGCUUCGCACCCAGCCACUGAAGUGGCACUGUUACUAUUGCAAAUAGAGCAUAGUGGGCUGGGGGUAGGACUCACUUGUAGAGCUCUUGCUUAGCAUACAUGGAACCCUGGUUCAAUUGUAGGUCAACC
rnacentral:lncRNA from 1 species